UUUUCUCUGUGAAGACUUUCUGUAUGUAUUCUCUGAGGGCUAUCAUGUUACUAAGGCUUGGAGGAUCGUGUACGGAUGUCGCGAUGUAGAGAGACUCUUAUUCAGAGAUUGUUUUUUCAGCAGACGCAAUCCAAUCCUAGAUCAUGAGUCGAAGCUUACGCAGCCCGGCCUGGCACACCUUCAUCCGCGUGGGGCAAAGUAGCGAGAUAUAGGCUCCUCACUAUGGUGCUCAGAGAAGAUGAUGAAACCGUGGACCCUGCCGCGAACUGCACCCACGAGCCGUUUUGGACGCUAACUGGCACCAAGUCCCCUAUUAGGCGGUUCGAAGACCGGUGCAUUGUCGUCGGUGUGGCGCAGGCUCUCCAAACCAUUAGCGAGGGAGCACUAGGCGAGAUGUGGUUGAGUGAUAUUGGCAUCGCGACUGCUAUGUAGAUGGUGGAAGUGUGUUCUUUUUCGCAUAACGCCGGAACGGAACACUACCGAGGACAUGGCCACCGGACAUAGGCAGAAAAGCAUCUGUUUGACCUUCUCGCGUCGUAGGCGCUUGGCUCAUUUCGCACCAGAAGUGGGUUACUGCUGUCCACGAUAGAGUCUCUUUUCUCUGUCGGAGUGUGGUGGCUCUGGCCGCUCGCCACUAUCUUGAGGUGUGGAUCGUCAUCAGGAGGCGUAAUGUGUAUACUAACGCACACAACAGAU
rnacentral:misc_RNA from 1 species